rnacentral:rRNA from 4 species
AAAAUGACUCUCGGCAACGGAUAUCUCGGCUCUUGCAUCGAUGAAGAACGUAGCAAAAUGCGAUACUUGGUGUGAAUUGCAGAAUCCCGUGAACCAUCGAGUCUUUGAACGCAAGUUGCGCCUGAAACCAUUAGGUUGAGGGCACGUCUGCCUGGGUGUCACAC